UACAGUUAUGAGAUUUUACAUAAAUAUGCUAACAAAAUAUGUAAUAGUAAACAAUAUAUUCAAAUUUUGAAGUCAAAAUGUCGUUGAAAAGUUGAGUAGCCGAAUAAAAAAUGGUCCAUACCUGAGAUAAAUUUUGUAUGCUUUUAGAUACCCAAAAUUUUUAUCCGAACCCGAACCCGAAUGAAACUGAUAUAUCCGAUGCUAAAUGAAUAUGGAUUCGGAUAUGGAUAACAAAAAUAGAAAUCCGACGGAUAUGGAUUCGGAUAUGGAUUUUGAUUGUACCCGAUCCGAAUCCAAAUCCGAAUCCGAACCUAACCCGAACCUGAAUUUAUUUUGUAUUUUUUAUAUUUCUUCUAUUUUAAAUAUUACAAAAUUUGGUUUCUAAACAUUUCUAAUUGUGUAGAUCAAUUUCAACGGUGCCGAUUAUCAAUUUGAAGUUCCGAUCAUUCAAAACGACUUGAUAGGAUAAGUGUUCCUAUCCUAUUAAUAGGAUAGUAGCUGGACUCUCUCUCUCUCUCUCUCUCUCUCUCUCUCUCUCUCUCUCUAUAUAUAUAUAUAUAUAUAUAGAGUUGAGCUAGAAUACUAUCGGCAGCAAACGGGCUCUGUUGCCACUCAUUUGUUUUCGAUAAUAGAGCCUCCAAAUCGAUGAUCGGCACCGUGAUCACUAUAUCACUUGAAGUAUCUAGAAAUCAAAUUUCAUGCUUUUUCGAUAUUGUUUUCUUGUCCAUCAAAUGAGCAUAAAAAUGAACGGCUGAAAAUAAAUAUCCUCUAAAAAGUGAUGAUAGGAAUUUUGUAAUCAAGAUCGAGAGUAUAGAUCUUAUUCUAAAUAGUUUAAAGAAUUUUCUAACCAAAAUUAAAUUAAUUUGGAUAGCUUUACACCAUUAAACAAGAAAACGCCUCAUAUCUACCUUUAAAAUUACAAACUUUGAAACCCUUUGAUCACUAGGUCAAUGAUGUCGAAAUGACAUUAAAUUUGGUUUCUAGAUAUUUCAAGUGUUAUAGAUCAUAUUCAACGGUGCUGAUCGUCAAUUUAAAGGCUCCAUCAUCGAAACAAAUGGGUGGCAACGGAGCCGAUUUGCUACCGAUAGCAUUCCAGCUCAACUCUAUAUAUAUAUAUNAUAUAUAUAUAUAUAUAUAUAUAUAUAUAUAUAUAUAUAUAUAUAUAUAUAUAUAUAUAUAUAUAUAUAUAUAUUUGAUGUUAUAUUUGACUUUGUAUUUUAAAAAUUUAGAUUAAAUAUAAUAUAUUUUGAAAUAUUGAAGAAAGAAAUAAUUGUUUCGGGUUAAAAUUUUCGGGUUCGGGUUUGGUUUCGGGUUUCGGAUUUUUGGUCGGGUUCGGGUUUGGAUAUGGAUUUUUAAAAUCCGUUGGGUUCGGGUUCAGGUUCGGGCCUCGGGUUUGGAGUCGGGUUCGUGUUCGGGUUUUUGAAAAUCCGCUCCGAAUCCGACCCGUUGACAUCCCUAAGGACAAUUUAAAAUCCACCACCUGUAACUACAUAAACUUAAUUUGAUUUACUAAUUUCAACAGGAUAAUGAGUGCCCUUAUUAGGAAAGCGCAAUUAGACGUGCUUGACGAUAACUAGGAAGAUAGUGUCGUUAAAUCAUUGGCACUAAUCAUUAAUUCUAAAAUUUCAAACUGUUAGAAACAAGCAACCAAUUUAUUUAUAACAUAAAGAUAUUCCACAACGAGUCUUGAUUGUAACUCAGCUCCAUCGGUCUUACGCCACUUUGAAUAUACCUCGGCCCAACCCGAUUUCCCUCUAAAGGGCAGGAAGGAUGCUCAUCCAUUUAAGCCAACAAUCCCUGCGCUAACACCGUGAUCUCUGACUUUGAUGCUACUUAUUGUAUCGUUGGUGUUAAUCAAUAAUUUUAAAAUAUCUAACUACUAAAAAUAUGCAACAAAUUCAUUUAAAACGUAUAGACAUAAUGUUCAAAAGUCCCGAUUGUAACUCGGUCUAACUGGCCUCAUGCCACUUCGAAUAUAACUCCGCCCAAUCUGACCUCAUGCCAUUAUGAGCGUGACUCGGUCUAAU
rnacentral:lncRNA from 1 species